rnacentral:rRNA from 1 species
UACGUAGGGACCGAGCGUUGUCCGGAAUCAUUGGGCGUAAAGAGCGUGUAGGCGGCUCGCUAAGUCUUGCGUGAAAUCUCGGGGCUCAACCCCGAGCGGUCGUGAGAAACUGGCGGUCUAGAGUGCGGGAGAGGAGAGUGGAAUUCCUGGUGUAGCGGUGAAAUGCGCAGAUAUCAGGAAGAACACCCGUAGCGAAGGCGGCUCUCUGGAACGCAACUGACGCUGAGACGCGAAAGCGUGGGGAGCAAACAGG